UACAGAGGACCCGAGCGCUACGCGGAUUAACUGGGCUUAAAGGGUGCGUAGGCGGAAACUUAAGUGUCUUGUGAAAUCCCACGGCUCAACCGUGGAACCGCAGGGCAUACUGGGUUUCUUGAGGCUGGUAUGCGCCGCCGGAACUGUAGGUGUAGCGGUGAAAUGCGUAGAUAUCUACAGGAACGCCGAUGGUGAAGACGGGCGGCUGGGCCAGUUCUGACGCUGAGGCACGAAAGCGUGGGGAUCAAACAGG
rnacentral:rRNA from 1 species